GGGCGCACUAGGGUAAUACCGGUGACUGGGGCUAAGUCGUAACAAGGUAGCCGUACCGGAAGGUGCGGCUGGAACACCUCCUUUCUGGAGUUC
rnacentral:rRNA from 1 species